rnacentral:rRNA from 1 species
GAUGAACGCUGGCGGCGUGCCUAAUACAUGCAAGUCGAGCGAACAGACGAGGAGCUUGCUCCUCUGACGUUAGCGGCUGACGUGUGAGUAACACGUGGAUAACCUACCUAUAAGACUGGGAUAACUUCGGGAAACCGGAGCUAAUACCGGAUAAUAUAUUGAACCGCAUGGUUCAAUAGUGAAAGAUGGUUUUGCUGUCACUUAUAGAUGGAUCCUCGCCGCAUUAUCUAGUUGGUAAGGUAACGGCUUACCAAGGCAACGAUGCGUAGCCGACCUGAGAGGGUGAUCGGCCACACUGGAACUGAGACACGGUCCAGACUCCUACGGGAGGCAGCAGUAGGGAAUCUUCAGCAAUGGGCGAAAGCCUGACGGAGCAACGCGGCGUGAGUGAUGAAGGUCUGCGGAUCGUAAAACUCUGUUAUUAGGGAAGAACAAAUGUGUAAGUAACUAUGCACGUCUUGACGGUACCUAAUCAGAAAGCCACGGCUAACUACGU